GUGGCGGACGGGUGAGUAAUGUCUGGGAAACUGCCUGAUGGAGGGGGAUAACUACUGGAAACGGUAGCUAAUACCGCAUAACGUCGCAAGACCAAAGAGGGGGACCUUCGGGCCUCUUGCCAUCGGAUGUGCCCAGAUGGGAUUAGCUAGUAGGUGGGGUAACGGCUCACCUAGGCGACGAUCCCUAGCUGGUCUGAGAGGAUGACCAGCCACACUGGAACUGAGACACGGUCCAGACUCCUACGGGAGGCAGCAGUGGGGAAUAUUGCACAAUGGGCGCAAGCCUGAUGCAGCCAUGCCGCGUGUAUGAAGAAGGCCUUCGGGUUGUAAAGUACUUUCAGCGGGGAGGAAGGGAGUAAAGUUAAUACCUUUGCUCAUUGACGUUACCCGCAGAAGAAGCACCGGCUAACUCCGUGCCAGCAGCCGCGGUAAUACGGAGGGUGCAAGCGUUAAUCGGAAUUACUGGGCGUAAAGCGCACGCAGGCGGUUUGUUAAGUCAGAUGUGAAAUCCCCGGGCUCAACCUGGGAACUGCAUCUGAUACUGGCAAGCUUGAGUCUCGUAGAGGGGGGUAGAAUUCCAGGUGUAGCGGUGAAAUGCGUAGAGAUCUGGAGGAAUACCGGUGGCGAAGGCGGCCCCCUGGACGAAGACUGACGCUCAGGUGCGAAAGCGUGGGGAGCAAACAGGAUUAGAUACCCUGGUAGUCCACGCCGUAAACGAUGUCGACUUGGAGGUUGUGCCCUUGAGGCGUGGCUUCCGGAGCUAACGCGUUAAGUCGACCGCCUGGGGAGUACGGCCGCAAGGUUAAAACUCAAAUGAAUUGACGGGGGCCCGCACAAGCGGUGGAGCAUGUGGUUUAAUUCGAUGCAACGCGAAGAACCUUACCUGGUCUUGACAUCCACGGAAGUUUUCAGAGAUGAGAAUGUGCCUUCGGGAACCGUGAGACAGGUGCUGCAUGGCUGUCGUCAGCUCGUGUUGUGAAAUGUUGGGUUAAGUCCCGCAACGAGCGCAACCCUUAUCCUUUGUUGCCAGCGGUCCGGCCGGGAACUCAAAGGAGACUGCCAGUGAUAAACUGGAGGAAGGUGGGGAUGAUGUCAAGUCAUCAUGGCCCUUACGACCAGGGCUACACACGUGCUACAAUGGCGCAUACAAAGAGAAGCGACCUCGCGAGAGCAAGCGGACCUCAUAAAGUGCGUCGUAGUCCGGAUUGGAGUCUGCAACUCGACUCCAUGAAGUCGGAAUCGCUAGUAAUCGUGGAUCAGAAUGCCACGGUGAAUACGUUCUCCGGUGCCUUGUACACACCGCCCGUCACACCAUGGGAGUGGGUUGCAAAAGAAG
rnacentral:rRNA from 1 species